rnacentral:rRNA from 1 species
GUCUACGACCAUGCUACCCUGAACAAGCCCAAUCACGCCUGAUCUCGGAAGCUAAGCAGGGUCGGGCCUGGUUAGUACUUGGAUGGGAGAGCACCUAGGAAGACCAGGUGCUGUAAGCA